GACGAACGCUGGCGGCGUGCCUAAUACAUGCAAGUUGAGCGCUGAAGGUUGGUACUUGUACCGACUGGAUGAGCAGCGAACGGGUGAGUAACGCGUGGGAAUCUGCCUUUGAGCGGGGGACAACCUUUGGAAACGAAUUCUAAUACCGCCUUAAAACUUUAAACCACAGUUUUAAGUUUGAAAGAUUCAAUUGCAUCACUCAAAGAUUAUCCCGCGUUGUAUUAGCUAGUUGGUGAGGUAAAGGCUCACCAAGGCGAUGAUACAUAGCCGACCUGAGAGGGUGAUCGGCCACAUUGGGACUGAGACACGGCCCAAACUCCUACGGGAGGCAGCAGUAGGGAAUCUUCGGCAAUGGACGAAAGUCUGACCGAGCAACGCCGCGUGAGUGAAGAAGGUUUUCGGAUCGUAAAACUCUGUUGGUAGAGAAGAACGUUGGUGAGAGUGGAAAGCUCAUCAAGUGACGGUAACUACCCAGAAAGGGACGGCUAACUACGUG
rnacentral:rRNA from 1 species